rnacentral:rRNA from 1 species
AACUGCGAGUGAAGCGGGAAAAGCUCAAAUUUAAAAUCUGGUGGUCUCUGGCCAUCCGAGUUGUAAUCUAGAGAAGUGUUACCCGCGUCGGACCGUGUAUAAGUCUCCUGGAAUGGAGCGUCAUAGAGGGUGAGAAUCCCGUCUUUGACACGGACUACCGAGGCUUUGUGGUAUGCUCUCAAAGAGUCGAGUUGUUUGGGAAUGCAGCUCAAAAUGGGUGGUAAAUUCCAUCUAAAGCUAAAUAUUGGCGAGAGACCGAUAGCGAACAAGUACCGUGAGGGAAAGAUGAAAAGAACUUUGGAAAGAGAGUUAAACAGUACGUGAAAUUGCUGAAAGGGAAACGCUUGAAGUCAGUCGCGUUGGCCGGGAAUCAGCCUUGCUUUUGCUUGGUGUACUUUCUGGUUGACGGGCCAGCAUCAGUUUUGACCGGUGGAAAAAGUUCAGGGGAAUGUGGCAUCUUCGGAUGUGUUAUAGCCCUUGUUCGUAUACAUCGGUUGGGACUGAGGAACUCAGCACGCCGCAAGGCCGGGUCUUUGACCACGUUCGUGCUUAGGAUGCUGGCAUAAUGGCUUUAAUCGACCCGUCUUGAAACACGGACCAAGGAGUCUAACAUGCCUGCGAGUGUUUGGGUGGAAAACCCGAGCGCGUAAUGAAAGUGAAAGUUGAGAUCCCUGUCAUGGGGAGCAUCGACGCCCGGACCUGACGUUUUCUGACGGCCCUGCGGUAGAGCAUGUAUGUUGGGACCCGAAAGAUGGUGAACUAUGCCUGAAUAGGGUGAAGCCAGAGGAAACUCUGGUGGAGGCUCGUAGCGAUUCUGACGUGCAAAUCGAUCGUCAAAUUUGGGUAUAGG